UGGCACUUUUAACGAUGUUCUGAAGAUCUGAUUAGUUAUCUCUCUGGAGGUUUUCUCAAGGGUGUCCCUCUGUUUCUCAUGCGACUCGAACUCUGCAGGGGUCUGGUAAGUUAGCCCCGCCUCGAAGUCAUCAAGGUCUUCUUGAGGGUCUGGUAAGUUAGCCCUCACAUUACUUAACCGUAGUUAUAGUUCAGGAUCUUAAGUAGGAGGGAGCAAUUCUUGGAGGACUCAGGUGCCCAUCAUAAGUUGAUGGCCCUGCAAAUUUUAUUUUUAUGAAAAAUAUUGUUACAUCAUUGGUAAUAUAUAUUGAGGUUCACCGAGUUCCAUGGCCUG
rnacentral:lncRNA from 1 species